UUCCCUCUCUAAACACACACACACACACACACACACAGAUCCACAGUCGGAGAAUGCUGCUGUGGCCGUGCUGAAGACUCUUCCCGUGCGAGACAGAGAGAGAGAGAGAGAGAGAGAGAGAGAGAGACCUCCCCUCCCGUCGGCCCAGGAACACGCUGCCACAACAUGGAGCCACUAACAGAGGAACAUUUCAUGGAUGAAGGCCUUACCAUGAAGGACACAGAGCCUCCCCUCGAGCCCGGCGCCGACGUCUACAUGCGCUUCAUGCUGAGGCACUGUUGCUAUGACGCCAUCCCCACCAGCUCCAAGCUGGUCAUCUUCGACACAACGCUUCAGGUGAAGAAGGCCUUCUUUGCUCUGGUCGCUAAUGGCGUGAGAGCUGCUCCGCUGUGGGACAGCAAGUUGCAGAGCUUUGUAGGUAUGCUGACCAUCACAGACUUCAUAAACAUUCUCCACCGCUACUACAAGUCUCCCAUGGUACAGAUCUAUGAACUGGAGGAACACAAGAUCGAGACAUGGAGAGAGGUGUUUCUGCACUGCUCCAAUUCCAUCAUCAGCAUCGCACCUGACGCCAGCCUGUUCGAAGCCAUCUACUCUCUGCUGAAGAAUAAGAUCCACCGGCUGCCCGUCAUCGACCCCGAGUCAGGAAACGUCCUGCACAUCCUCACACACAAACGCAUCCUCAAGUUCCUGCACAUUUUCGGUUCCAUGAUCCCAAAGCCGAGGUUCCUGCAGAAGCGCAUCGAGGAGGUGGGGAUAGGAACGUUCAAAGAGAUCGCCACGGUCCAGGAGUCGGCCACCGUGCAUGACGCUCUGUCCAUCUUCGUCGAGCGGCGAGUAUCUGCUCUGCCUGUCGUCAAUGAGCAAGGGAAGGUGGUUGCCCUGUACUCCAGAUUUGAUGUGAUUAAUCUAGCGGCUCAGAAGACCUACAACAACCUGAACAUGACGAUGCGAGACGCCAUCGCUAGUCGCUCAUGCUGCAUGGAGGGCGUGCUCAAAUGCUACCCCUACGAGACGCUGGAGACCAUCAUUGACCGCAUCGCCAAGGCCGAGGUGCACCGGCUGGUGCUGGUGGAUCGGGAGGACAUAGUGAGGGGCAUCGUCUCCCUGUCGGACCUGCUGCAGGCGCUGGUGCUGACCCCGGCAGGUAUUGAUGCUCUGUUCUGUUAGCCCCUCCUCCCCGGGGGCUCCCUCACCCUCCCCACCUCCACCUCCACCUCCUGCACCACCACCACCACCGCCUCCUUCUCCUCCUCCUCCUCCUCCUCCUCCUACUAUUCCUCCUCCUCCUCCUCGUCUCCACUGACCCUCCCCACACCCAGAGAUUACAGAGAGAGCCAGUAUUGAGGCCUAAAAGGACGUCCUGGCUGCUGGAUGAAGAUGGUGUACACGUCUCCGAUUGCUCGGCUGGCUUCUCAAAAAGCCUAUUCUAAUGCUUGAUGAUAGGAACAGCUGGAAAUAUGUGCAUACUUUGUUUCCAGAGACAUUGUAUUUGUGUCAUAGUGUCAGUUUUUUAUGAUUCUAUUUAUUUUGUAUGAGAAUCCAAAUGAAAGGCUUCAAGAAGGAUUAGUGAUUAUCCUGUUGGAAGACUUCAAGACAAAUGAUGUUGAUGAUGAUGUUGUUUUGGUAUUUGUAUUCACGCUUUAAAUGUGUUUUGCCGUUGCAAGCAUCCCUGUGUGCAGAGAUGCAGAUAUGCCUGUUAGCCUAGUUUGACCAUGUAGAUGUAAUCAAACAAAAUGUUCAAAAAGCUUUUCACCACAGUGACCUUACUGUUAGAUUAUGGUGAUAACCAUGAAAUACUAUAUUUUUGCACAUGGACAAAGCCCAUGCUAGCCAAGGCUACUCUUAGUGGCAAGCAGACAGACAGGCCAGUGAUGUCAAAAUGUUUUUAACAAGUAACAGGCCUUAUCUUGCGGUGGGGUAGUAGGCCAGUCAAUCUAGCGUUUGACCCAUAACUAAUUGCAAUAGUAAUCAUUCAAAGUUUUUUGUGAUCCCUAGGUAUAUCUAAUUAACAUAUAAAAAAUCUACCCAUUUAUAUUUAGUGGAACAUACUU